UACGAAGGGGGCUAGCGUUGCUCGGAAUCACUGGGCGUAAAGGGCGCGUAGGCGGCGUCUUAAGUCGGGGGUGAAAGCCUGUGGCUCAACCACAGAAUGGCCUUCGAUACUGGGACGCUUGAGUAUGGUAGAGGUUGGUGGAACUGCGAGUGUAGAGGUGAAAUUCGUAGAUAUUCGCAAGAACACCGGUGGCGAAGGCGGCUAACUGGACCAUUACUGACGCUGAGGCGCGAAAGCGUGGGGAGCAAACAGG
rnacentral:rRNA from 1 species